rnacentral:rRNA from 1 species
AGGAUUAACGCUGGCGGCGUGCCUAACACAUGCAAGUCGAACGAGGUAGCAAUACCUAGUGGCAGACGGGUGAGUAACGCGUGGUCAACCUACCCUCGAGUGGGGGAUAACUAGCCGAAAGGCUAGCUAAUACCGCAUAAUACCGUAGCCGGCAUCGGCAUCGGUUGAAAGCAGCAAUGCACUCGGGGACGGGACCGCGUCCGAUUAGUUAGUUGGUGGGGUAACGGCCUACCAAGACUCCGAUCGGUAGCUGGUUUGAGAGAACGACCAGCCACACUGGGACUGAGAACGGCCCAGACUCCUACGGGAGGCAGCAGUGAGGAAUUUUCCGCAAUGGGCGAAAGCCUGACGGAGCGACGCCGCGUGUGGGAAGAAGGCCUUCGGGUCGUAAACCACUGUCGAGGGGGACGAUACUGACGGUACCCCUGGAGGAAGCCCCGGCUAACUACGCGCCAGCAGCCGC